GUGCUUGCUUCGGCAACACAUAUAUUAAAAUUGAAAUGAUACAGAGAAGAUUAGUGUGGUCCCUGCGCAAGGAUGACACACAAAUUUGUGAAGUGUUUCAUAUCAAA